rnacentral:rRNA from 1 species
GGCUAAAUACUCCCUAGUGACCGAUAGUGAACCAGUACCGUGAGGGAAAGGUGAAAAGCACCCCGGAAGGGGAGUGAAACAGUUCCUGAAACCGUGUGCCUACAAGUAGUUAGAGCCCGUUAAUGGGUGAUAGCGUGCCUUUUGUAGAAUGAACCGGCGAGUUACGAUUUGUUGCAAGGUUAAGCGGAAAAAGCGGAGCCGUAGCGAAAGCGAGUCUGAAUAGGGCGCAUAAGUAACAGGUCGUAGACCCGAAACCAGGUGAUCUACCCAUGUCCAGGAUGAAGGUAAGGUAAUACUUACUGGAGGUCCGAACCCACGCACGUUGAAAAGUGCGGGGAUGAGGUGUGGGUAGCGGAGAAAUUCCAAUCGAACUUGGAGAUAGCUGGUUCUCUCCGAAAUAGCUUUAGGGCUAGCCUCGAGGUAAAGAGUCAUGGAGGUAGAGCACUGUUUGGACUAGGGGCCCUUCUCGGGUUACCGAAUUCAGAUAAACUCCGAAUGCCAUGUACUUAUACUCGGGAGUCAGACUGCGAGUGAUAAGAUCCGUAGUCGAAAGGGAAACAGCCCAGACCACCAGUUAAGGUCCCCAAAUAUAUGUUAAGUGGAAAAGGAUGUGGGGUUGCUUAGACAACCAGGAUGUUGGCUUAGAAGCAGCCACCAUUGAAAGAGUGCGUAAUAGCUCACUGGUCGAGUGACCCCGCGCCGAAAAUGUACCGGGGCUAAACAUAUUACCGAAACUGUGGAUGAACCUCUUUAGAGGUUCGUGGUAGGAGAGCGUUCUAAGGGCGGUGAAGUCAGACCGGAAGGACUGGUGGAGCGCUUAGAAGUGAGAAUGCCGGUAUGAGUAGCGAAAGAAGGGUGAGAAUCCCUUCCACCGAAUAUCUAAGGUUUCCUGAGGAAGGCUCGUCCGCUCAGGGUUAGUCGGGACCUAAGCCGAGGCCGAUAGGCGUAGGCGAUGGACAACAGGUAGAGAUUCCUGUACCAGUGCUAAUUGUUUAACCGAUGGGGUGACACAGAAGGAUAGGGAAUCGCACGAAUGGAAAUGUGCGUCCAAGCAGUGAGUGUGAGAAGUAGGCAAAUCCGCUUCUCGCGAAGCAUGAGCUGUGAUGGGGAAGGAAAUUAAGUACGGAAGUUCCUGAUUUCACGCUGUCAAGAAAAGCCUCUAGGAAGAGUAGUACUGCCCGUACCGCAAACCGACACAGGUAGAUGAGGAGAGAAUCCUAAGGUGAGCGAGAGAACUCUCGUUAAGGAACUCGGCAAAAUGACCCCGUAACUUCGGGAGAAGGGGUGCUCUAUUAGGGUGCAAGCCCGAGAGAGCCGCAGUGAAUAGGCCCAGGCGACUGUUUAGCAAAAACACAGGUCUCUGCAAAACCGUAAGGUGACGUAUAGGGGCUGACGCCUGCCCGGUGCUGGAAGGUUAAGAGGAGUGCUUAGCUUCGGCGAAGGUACGAAUUGAAGCCCCAGUAAACGGCGGCCGUAACUAUAACGGUCCUAAGGUAGCGAAAUUCCUUGUCGGGUAAGUUCCGACCCGCACGAAAGGCGCAACGAUCUGGGCACUGUCUCAACGAGAGACUCGGUGAAAUUAUAGUACCUGUGAAGAUGCAGGUUACCCGCGACAGGACGGAAAGACCCCGUGGAGCUUUACUGCAACCUGAUAUGGAAUGUUUGUACCGCUUGUACAGGAUAGGUAGGAGCCGAAGAGACGUGUGCGCUAGCAUACGAGGAGGCAAUGGUGGGAUACUACCCUGGCUGUAUGACCAUUCUAACCCGCCACGCUUAGCGCGUGGGGAGACAGUGUCAGGUGGGCAGUUUGACUGGGGCGGUCGCCUCCUAAAGAGUAACGGAGGCGCCCAAAGGUUCCCUCAGAAUGGAUGGAAAUCAUUCGCAGAGUGUAAAGGCACAAGGGAGCUUGACUGCGAGACUGACAAGUCGAGCAGGGACGAAAGUCGGGCUUAGUGAUCCGGUGGUUCCGCAUGGAAGGGCCAUCGCUCAACGGAUAAAAGCUACCCCGGGGAUAACAGGCUUAUCUCCCCCAAGAGUCCACAUCGACGGGGAGGUUUGGCACCUCGAUGUCGGCUCGUCGCAUCCUGGGGCUGUAGUCGGUCCCAAGGGUUGGGCUGUUCGCCCAUUAAAGCGGCACGCGAGCUGGGUUCAGAACGUCGUGAGACAGUUCGGUCCCUAUCCGUCGCGGGCGCAGGAAAUUUGAGAGGAGCUGUCCUUAGUACGAGAGGACCGGGAUGGACACACCGCUGGUGUACCAGUUGUUCCGCCAGGAGCAUCGCUGGGUAGCUAUGUGUGGCAGGGAUAAACGCUGAAAGCAUCUAAGCGUGAAGCCCCCCUCAAGAUGAGAUUUCCCAUUUCUUCGGAAAGUAAGAUCCCUGAAAGAUGAUCAGGUAGAUAGGUUUGGAGUGGAAGUGUAGCGAUACAUGGAGCGGACAAAUACUAAUCGAUCGAGGACUUAACCAAAA